GUGGGUCCAUUCUCCAGUUUUGCAGUGGGCCCAGAGAAAUUGUGUGUGAGCACCAUUAAAAUGGGUCGUAAUUGUUCCUUUUCAACGGUACAAUCCCAUGCAUGUUUACUCAGAAGUAAGUCCUGGUGUGUUCAAUGCGGCUAGCUCCUUUAAAUCUAUGUCAGAAUGCAGCCUAAAUUACGUAUUAUUAAGUGGAGACACAAGUGGUUAAUAUUAUGUAGUCAUUAUAGCCCCUUCUUAUCCUCCUCAGCCAUUUCCAUUUUCAGAGCAAGCAUAGCAGACAAAAAGAUGCUCUCUUUCCACAAAACAGGAGUCUGUCAUUAUUAAGGGUUGAUAACCAAGACACCAACCAUGAAGUUGCUUGGUUAUUUGUCAGUCCUCCGUAGAAUCGGGAUAUUUCUGAAUGGAGUUUACCAGAACCACUGACAUUGUUUGGAAACUCUGGACACCCAGAGCUUGUCCCUCAGGAAGUAAACAAACACUUUGUUUCUGAGUGCGUUUGGCUUGGGUUUUAAAAACAUUUUUUUAACCUUC